rnacentral:rRNA from 1 species
UACAGAGGUCUCAAGCGUUGUCCGGAUUUACUGGGCGUAAAGGGCGCGUAGGCGGUCUGUUAAGUGGGAAGUGAAAUCUCCAGGGCUCAACCCGGAAACUGCUUUCUAUACUGGCAGGCUGGAGGGAUGCAGAGGUGUGUGGAAUUCCUGGUGAAGCGGUGAAAUGCGUAGAUAUCAGGAGGAACACCCAUGGCGAAGGCAGCACACUGGGCAUCAUCUGACGCUGAGGCGCGAAAGCGUGGGUAGCAAACAGG